AUGACGGGCUUUCUGCUGCUGCGGCAAGCAGAGGAGCUCAGAGACCAAGCAGCAGGAGCAGAAGAAGGCAAAAGAGAAGAAGGAGGAACCCGAGUAGCUUUGUGGCUUCAUGUCCAACCCUCCUGCCCUUCGCCUAUGUGACUGGAGCCAGUCCCACCACCCUCACGUUUCCUCCUGCAGUGCCCGCAGGUCCCCGCACCCAUGGCCUCCUUUUGCCCUGAGUCUGCAGCGGGUCCCUUUUGUGCUUCCUUCCCCUCACGUAGCCUCUCUCCCCCUGGCCCCUCCUG
rnacentral:lncRNA from 1 species